rnacentral:lncRNA from 1 species
GCACUAAUUAACUCUCAGUUUUUCAACAAGUUAUUAGAUUGAAUGAUUGCAUACGACAACCCAAAACAUUCCCUACAAGUUCCCUACAUGAAUUGCAUAAUAGAGAUACAAGCAAGAAUCAUUAAGUUCUAUGAAAAACAUAAGCAUUGACGAGGCACUCGUUACUAUGAUUUGCAUGAAACUUAUGCCAAGAAUUUAUUUAACGUGAUUGUGACUAGCAACCUUUACUACUUGUGAAUAUAAGUUCAUAACGAUUAGGUGAAACUCCCUUAUAUUCUAGCGUCAAAUUCAUGCAUGAAAA